rnacentral:lncRNA from 1 species
CGCGGGACGGGGAUGCGCGGAGGUGAAGGCAGGCAUCCCCCGGGGUCGCUGCCCGCCCCGCUGCCCCGUCGGGGCCGGGUCCCGCCGCGCAUCACCCCCGGUUCUCUCGCCUGGUCUUUCGCCUGGCACUAUGUGCUCCUCAGGAACGCUGUUUGAGAAUUGCCCUUGGUUUUUGUUUUUUUUUUUUCGUGUAACUUCUCUUCGGGGAGGGACUUGUUCCCUCUUCUUUUGUUUUUAAGAUCUUCUUUCCCAUCUGCGCUGAUGCAGGAUUUGGAAGUGGAGUUCCUGGAGAGUGAACCUGGCAAUGAGUGCAGAUUUCCCUGAAAGCUGAGGCUGUUUCUUUAUUCCCUAGGAGACUGAGAAGAGAGGGGACCCUGGAUGCCAGCCCGAUCUCCGUUUUUUGUUUGUUUUGACUUUGAGGCAGAUUUCCUCUUUCAGCUCUGGGAAUUGACGGGUACAACCCCUGUAGGCACCUGUGCACGUCUCAGAAACAAGACCAAGACCAUGAAGCUGAUAUGUCAGUUAACCGGUGGCCCUGACGCCACACAGUACCUCAGUCCAUCAGCUUCUUUCCAAGAUGGUAACUACCUUCUGCUCCACAUCUCUGCUGCAGGAGAUCUUUUGAUAACCUAAAAAAGUAAACUGCAUCCUGUAGAUUUCCUCUUAAAACUUCUGCUUUACAGAAGAGAAGAUCAACUUGUUGGAGGUGCAUCAAUGAUACCAAACUUGCUUCUGUUUGCCUGACCACCCUCUCCGUCAGUCUAAAAUUAUAAUUUUUGAAAGAAUUGAAGGAGCUGUAUUAAUGUUUGUGUGAACCAUUUUUCCUGCACAUAUUCUGUUCUUCUUUUCUCCAUCCAUUUGGUGUCUGGUUCGUCUUGGCUGCUUUUAAAAAUUCUGUUGCCUCUAGUAAGGGACUGCCAGAUUAAAAUAGUGAAGAGAAACCAGGUGACUGUCUACUUUUACGAAUACAGGUUGUGUAUAAUAAAUUCAGGUUUUACAUCUAUGCA